rnacentral:rRNA from 1 species
AGAGCGAACGCUGGCGGCAGGCCUAAUACAUGCAAGUCGAACGCACCCUCGGGUGAGUGGCGGACGGGUGAGUAACACGUGGGAACGUGCCUUUUGGUUCGGAAUAAUCCGGGGAAACCUGGCCUAAUACCGGAUGUGCCCUUCGGGGGAAAGAUUUAUCGCCAUUAGAGCGGCCCGCGUCUGAUUAGCUAGUUGGUGGGGUAAAGGCCCACCAAGGCUACGAUCAGUAGCUGGUCUGAGAGGAUGAUCAGCCACACUGGGACUGAGACACGGCCCAGACUCCUACGGGAGGCAGCAGUAGGGAAUCUUGCGCAAUGGGGGAAACCCUGACGCAGCCAUGCCGCGUGAAUGAUGAAGGUCUUAGGAUUGUAAAAUUCUUUCAGCGGGAAGAUAAUGACUGUACCCGCAGAAGAGCUCCGGCUAACUUCGCGCCAGCAGCCGC